GGAAAGGGCCUAAAUUCCCUAAGGCACCAGAACCUGUCUGAUAUUGAAAGCUAAGCAGGCUUUGUCCUGGUUAAUACUUGGAUAGGAGACUGCCAAUGAAUAUCAGGGGCUGUGGGCU
rnacentral:rRNA from 1 species